AAAACAUUCAUAAACACUUCAUAUAUGUUCUAAAAUAAACAGUGCUCUUCACAAAGUCAUAUUAAACCUCUAAAGUCAGUUUUGACAAAAGCCUGAUAUAAAUACUCCAGAAUUGUGUUAUUAAUGAUUUUAAUUAAAGAGGAACUGCUGUUGAAUGUGUUAUAAAGGCCCUAUAAAGGUACCAAUAAAAUGAUGCUGUUUUAUUUUCUAAGGGAGGCCUACACCGGGCCUAUAUAACACUUUCAUAAGGUAUACAUUAUUUUAGGUGUACAGCUUUGUAAAACAAACAAGCGAACAAAACAAAUAAUCUAAUAUAAUUUAUUUUUAAAAUCUUUGUCAUUUCACAGAUUUUGACAUAAGCCUUUCAUACAUUUUGCCAAUUUAAAGUUAAAUGUACUGUUUAUGAAUGUGUUAUGAAGGUUUAAUGUAAAUAAACUGAAAAUAAACUGAAAACUGUAAUCAUAACUAAUUGUAAAUAAGUAAUAAUUGUAAAGGUAGGGUUAGGCUGUAGUGAUUAGUGGAUAAUGGAGGUGUAGUGGAUUAGGGUGUAGGGAUUAGUAGAUAAUGGAGGUGUAGUGGAUUAGGGUGUAGGGAUUAGUAGAUAAUGGAGGUGUAGUGGAUUAGGGUGUAGGGAUUAGCAGAUAAUGGAGGUGUAGUGGAUUAGGUUGUGGGGAUUAUCAGAUAAUGGAGGUGUAGUGGAUUAGGUUGUGGGGAUUAGUAGAUAAUGGAGGUGUAGUGGAUUACAGUGUAGGGAUUAGUAGAAAUGGAGGUGUAGUGGAUUAGGGUGUGGGGAUUAGUGGAUAAUGGAGGUGUAGUGGAUUAGGGUGUAGGGAUUAGUAGAUAAUGGAGGUGUAGUGGAUUAGGUUGUGGGGAUUAGCGGAUAAUGGAGGUGUAGUGGAUUAGGGUGUAGGGAUUAGUAGAUAAUGGAGGUGUAGUGGAUUAGGGUGUGGGGAUUAGUGGAUAAUGGAGGUGUAGUGGAUUAGGGUGUAGGGAUUAGUGGAUAAUGGAGGUGCAGUUGCAGGAAGUAGACUAGUUUCAGCAGAUCUGUGUUAGGGCAAGAUUUUAG
ensembl:lncRNA